UCCGGUUUGGCACCGGCAGUCUCCCCAGAGUUCCCGGCAUGACCCGCUGGCAACUGAGGACAAGGGUUGCGCUCGUUGCACCACCUGUAUACCGGCCACAAGGGGGGCACCAUCUCUGGCGCUUUCCGGUAUAUGUCAAGCCUAGGUAAGGUUCUUCGCGUUGCAUCGAAUUAAGCCACAUGCUCCACCGCUUGUGUGAGCCCCCGUCAAUUCCUUUGAGUUUUAGCCUUGCGGCCGUACUCCCCAGGCGGGGCGCUUAAUGCGUUAGCUGCGGCACGGAGGACGUGGAAUGUCCCCCACACCUAGCGCCCAACGUUUACGGCGUGGACUAC
rnacentral:misc_RNA from 1 species